AGUUUAUUUUAUAAGAAUUUAAUUUACUAUAAUUUUAAUUGAAAUUUAUUUCAGGUCAAGGUGCAGCUAAUAAUUAAGUGGUGNGGAAUUACAAUUUUAUUUAAAAAAAUACGGAGUUUGAGUUGAAAAUAAUUUUAAUGAAGGUGGAUUUAUUAGUAAUUUUAUUUUGUGUGGUUUUUUGAAAUUAGUUCUAANAUAAGUACACAUCGCCCG
rnacentral:rRNA from 1 species